AUAUUGGACAAUGGGGGCAACCUUGUUCCAGCCAUGCCGCGAGUGUGAAGAAGGUCUUCGGAUUGUAAAGCACUUUAAGUUGGGGGGAAGGGCUUUAGGUUAAUACCCUGAUGUUUUGACGUUACCAACAGAAUAAGCACCGGCUAACUCUGUCCCAACAGCCGCGGUAAUACAGUGGGUGUAAGCGUUAAUCGGAAUUCCUGGGCGUAAAGCGCGCGUAGGUGGUUCAGUAAGAUGGGUGUGAAAUCACCGGGCUUAACCUGGGAACUGCUUUGAUAACUGGUGCGCUAGAAUACGAGAGAGGGUAGUGGAAUUUCCUGUUGAAGGGUGAAAUGCGUAGAUAUAGGAAGGAACCACAGUGGCGAAGGCCACUACCUGGACUGAUCCUGACACUGAAGUGCAAAAGCGUUGGGAGCAAA
rnacentral:rRNA from 1 species